UACGUAGGGGGCUAGCGUUGUCCGGAAUCAUUGGGCGUAAAGCGCGUGUAGGCGGUCCGGUAAGUCCGCUGUGAAAGUCGGGGGCUCAACCCUCGGAUGCCGGUGGAUACUGUCGGGCUUGAGUACGGAAGAGGCGAGUGGAAUUCCUGGUGUAGCGGUGAAAUGCGCAGAUAUCAGGAGGAACACCAAUUGCGAAGGCAGCCUCGCUGGGACGUUACUGACGCUGAGACGCGAAAGCGUGGGGAGCAAACAGG
rnacentral:rRNA from 1 species